rnacentral:lncRNA from 1 species
GGCGGCGGCCGGCGGCCGUUGGCGGCGGCCGUUGGCCUCGGGGCUCUCGGCAUCGCGGCACCGCCGAGGGACGGUCCUGCCGGCUCCAGCCCUGGGGCGCCUUCGCCUCCCGGCGCGGUGCCAGUGACUGCCUGCCGGCGUCACCCUCGGGGGAGCGACCGGGCCGCUGGUGUGGCCGCCUGUCUCCCAGGGGCUACGAAGCGCCUCCUGGGAGCUCUGCGCGACGCACCGGCGUCGCUAAAUAAAGCGCUUAAAUGCGGUGAAGGAUACGAGGAACUGAGACAAGCAAGGCUUGGACCAGAAGUCUCCCAUUAAAUAUGUGACAAUAAUGGCUUCCAGACACCUGGAGGAUAGAGAAGGACCACAGCCAUCGCUGGGCUGCUCAGGUUGGACCAGGAUUGCUAGGAAGAGGAUUCUGGAGAAGAUACCACAGUUGAUAUAAAAAUCCCAGAAGGUUCUUACACUGCAGGCCCUUACUGUCUCAGAGGAACCAAGACCUAAGCUAGUCACUACCAUUUUAGUAGCCAGUUUGCUAAGUGUGUGGCUGUGGCAGGGCCAGGUAAGCAUCUUGUGCCUUUUUUAUUUUGGCCACAGUGACUUAUUUGGGGGAGAGAAGGGAUCUGUGUAGGCCUUAUUUUCUGUUAUAGCCAGGUUGACCAAUGCAUCAUUCUGUGGCUGGAUUAGGCCUUAAUCUUACAGAGUAACCAGUUGCAACUUGUCGAUUUUCUCUUCAGCAUCUGUGUUGUCAUUUAUCACAGAAUCACAGAAUUAUGUCUUCUUUCUUCUUGUGCAGUGAUUUUUUUUCUGUGUCAAAUAAAGGCUGAUUUUAUCCUACA